UUCGGGUGACAGGGAGACAGGUGGUGCAUGGUUGUCGUCAGCUCGUGUCGUGAGAUGUUGGGUUAAGUCCCGCAACGAGCGCAACCCCUACGUUUAGUUGCUAACGCGUGAAGGCGAGCACUCUAGACGAACUGCCGUUGACAAAACGGAGGAAGUGGGAUGACGUCAAAUCAUCAUGCCCUUAUGUUCUGGGCUACACACGUGCUACAAUGGCCGGUACAGACGGACGCAAAGCCGCGAGGCGGAGCAAAUCCGAAAAAGCCGGUCUCAGUUCGGAUUGCAGGCUGCAAUUCGCCUGCAUGAAGUCGGAAUCGCUAGUAAUCGCAGGUCAGCAUACUGCGGUGAAUACGUUCCCGGGCCUU
rnacentral:rRNA from 1 species